rnacentral:rRNA from 1 species
AGUGAACGCUGGCGGCAGGCCUAACACAUGCAAGUCGAACGGCAGCACAGAGGAGCUUGCUCCUUGGGUGGCGAGUGGCGGACGGGUGAGGAAUACAUCGGAAUCUGCCUAUUUGUGGGGGAUAACGUAGGGAAACUUACGCUAAUACCGCAUACGACCUACGGGUGAAAGCGGAGGACCUUCGGGCUUCGCGCAGAUAGAUGAGCCGAUGGCGGAAUAGCUAGUUGGCGGGGUAAAGGCCCACCAAGGCGACGAUCCGUAGCUGGUCUGAGAGGAUGAUCAGCCACACUGGAACUGAGACACGGUCCAGACUCCUACGGGAGGCAGCAGUGGGGAAUAUUGGACAAUGGGCGCAAGCCUGAUCCAGCCAUGCCGCGUGGGUGAAGAAGGCCUUCGGGUUGUAAAGCCCUUUUGUUGGGAAAGAAAAGCAGCCGGUUAAUACCCGGUUGUUCUGACGGUACCCAAAGAAUAAGCACCGGCUAACUUCGUGCCAGCCGCCGCCGUAAAAC